CCCGACUGCUAUCGGGGUGAGGCUAAGCCAUGGGAGUCGCGCGCCCAGCCGCCGCUGGGCGCGGCGCACGGCUGAGUAACAUGUAGCUAACCUACCCUCGGGAGGGGGACAACCCCGGGAAACUGGGGCUAAUCCCCCAUAGGCAAGGGGGCCUGGAAGGGUCCCUUGCCGAAAGGGACCCCAGGGGGUUAUCGCCUGGGGUCCGCCCGAGGAUGGGGCUGCACCCCAUCAUGGUAGUUGGCGGGGUAAUGACCCGCCAAGCCGACGACGGGUAGGGGCCGUGGGAGCGGGAGCCCCCAGAUGGGCCCUGAGACAAGGGCCCAGGCCCUACGGGGCGCACCAGGCGCGAAACCUCCGCAAUGCGGGAAACCGUGACGGGGUCACCCCGAGUGCCCCCGUAAGGGGGCUUUUCCCCGCUGCAGGGAGGCGGGGGAAUAAGCGGGGGGCAAGUCUGGUGUCAGCCGCCGCGGUAAUACCAGCUCCGCGAGUGGUCGGGGUGUUUACUGGGCUUAAAGCGCCCGUAGCCGGCCCGGCAAGUCGCUCCUGAAAUCCCAGGGCUCAACCCUGGGGCAGGGGGCGAUACUGCCGGGCUAGGGGGCGGAAGAGGCCGCCGGUACUCCCGGGGUAGGGGCGAAAUCCGUUAAUCCCCGGAGGACCACCAGUGGCGAAAGCGGGCGGCCAGAACGCGCCCGACGGUGAAGGGGCUAAAGCCCGGGGA
rnacentral:rRNA from 1 species